rnacentral:rRNA from 1 species
UACGAAGGGGGCUAGCGUUGCUCGGAAUUACUGGGCGUAAAGCGCACGUAGGCGGCUCUUUAAGUCGGGGGUGAAAUCCUGGAGCUCAACUCCAGAACUGCCUUCGAUACUGGAGAGCUUGAGUCCGGGAGAGGUGAGUGGAACUGCGAGUGUAGAGGUGAAAUUCGUAGAUAUUCGCAAGAACACCAGUGGCGAAGGCGGCUCACUGGCCCGGUACUGACGCUGAGGUGCGAAAGCGUGGGGAGCAAACAGG